rnacentral:rRNA from 1 species
CCACGGGUGAGUAACACGUAUCCAACCUGCCGUCUACUCUUGGCCAGCCUUCUGAAAGGAAGAUUAAUCCAGGAUGGCAUCAUGAGUUCACAUGUCCGCAUGAUUAAAGGUAUUUUCCGGUAGACGAUGGGGAUGCGUUCCAUUAGAUAGUAGGCGGGGUAACGGCCCACCUAGUCAACGAUGGAUAGGGGUUCUGAGAGGAAGGUCCCCCACAUUGGAACUGAGACACGGUCCAA